UGGACAGGGGAGUCGUUUACGCAUGCGUGAUCCAGAAAAGUGCGUUUUAGAAUGAUUACUUGCCAGAGGACAGGCAGAUUAUACUGCUGCACACAACUGUUGUUUUAAUCCCCCGGGCGAGGAGAUUUAGCAAAGAAAAAACACAGGUUUUAAACCCAGCAGCCAUAUUGUAUGGAAAAACGACGGAAAGACUCUUUUCAGAAAAACUCGUUUUCUCAGAUACCUGUCGGCACUUUUGAGAACUUACAUUCAUUUUCUUACUGGCGGUGGGUUUGUGGUGGACAGCUAGCUUGCCAGCUGGCUGAGGAAUUCAGAGUUUGGGACUAGUUUUGAGCUAUUUUUCACAAUAUUGUUGUUGUCGCUUUGGUGUAAAAGUGUUAAAUUAACCGUCUGAAAAAUGAAGGACCGAUUGGAGCAACUUAAAGCGACGUGUGAUCAAGAUGAUGACGACGUGGAGAUUGCUGUGGAUAACGCAGCCUUUAUGGAUGAGUUCUUCUGUCAGAUUGAGGACAUCAGGAACAGUAUCGAUAAAAUUGAUAACAACGUGGCUGAG